rnacentral:tRNA from 1 species
UCCCUUGUAGCUCAGUUGGUCAAGAAUGUGCCUGCAACACAGGAGACCCAGGUUCGAUCCCUGGCUUGGGAA